GUAGUGCAAUGGUUAACACACUCAGCUGCUAAUUGAAAGACUGGUGGUUUGAGUCUACCC
rnacentral:tRNA from 1 species